rnacentral:sRNA from 1 species
CUGCAAUGAAAUUCAAACUAUACCUUCCCAAAUUGGUAACCUGGAGGCCUUGAGAGACCUUAAUGUAAGAAGAAAUCACCUAGUACAUUUGCCUGAAGACGGAGUCUCACUCUGUCACGCAGGCUGGAGUGCAGUGGUGCGCUCACUGCAAGCUCCACCUCCCGGGUUCAUGCCAUUCUCCUGCCUCAGCCUCCCGAGUAGCUGGCAUUACAGGCACACACCACCACACCCAGCUAAUUUUUGUAUUUUUACUUCUUUUUUUUUUUUUUGAGAUGGAGUCUCACACUGUCGCCCUGGCUGGAGUACAGUGGAGCGAUCUUGGCUCACUGCAACCUCUGCCUCCCAGGUUCAAGGGAUUCUCCUGCCUCAGCCUCCCAAGUAGCUGGGAUUACAGGUGCCCGCCACCAUGCCCAGUUAAUUUUUUUUUUUUUUUUGUAUUUUUAGUAGAGACGGGGUUUCAUUAUGUUGGCCAGGCUGGUCUCAAACUCCUGACCUCAUGAUCCGCCUGCCUCAGCCUCCCAAAGUGCUAGGAUUACAGGCGUGAGCCACCGUGCCUGGCCUUUUUUGUAUUUUUAGUAGAGACUGGGUUUCACCAUGUUGCCCAGGAUGGUCUUGAUCUCCUGACCUCGUGAUCCGCCUGCCUCAGCCUCCCAAAAUGCUGGGAUUACAGUCGUGAGCCACCGUGCCCAGCCAAGAAUCUUAAAUAAUGUCGUUCCCCUGCCUCAAACUUCCCUGCACACCAAUUUCAAUGGCCAAAA